UGAUUAAAACGGAUAUUUAUGUUGUAUCAUUCUAACUGCUAAAUUCAUUUCCAGAUUAAUUUGGAACAUGACCAAUGUCUCGUCACAAUGCUGAUGAUGUUUCAAAAUAUUUUAUACGACACGUACGAUAUGCACAUAAAAAUUGUAUACUGUAAGUGUGGAAAUAUCUUCAUGAGCCACUGUAAGUAAUAACGUCAAAUUGAUAAAUCGACGAGGAUUGGUACCAUUCAACGACACAGUCCGUUCGAUAGAUGGAAAUUUAAUCUAAUUAGCGCGAUUAGACCGUCCCAAUUCAAGGAGUCGAGCGAAAUCUUGCGAGCCUCACGCGAGAAUCACCAACCCUACAUAGCGAAAUUGAUCCAGAAUCUGGGUCAACCGGUCUCGUUGACGAACUUGUCUCUUGAACCUGCGCCAAUUCACACCGAAUUACCCUAUGAUCAACUGGCUAUAAACAUUACUAAGGAUUGCAACAGAAAUUGUGCAUUUACAAAAUUAAGUGGAAAAAAAUCGUAACAUAACGACCAUUCACUUAUUAAUUAUAACCCAAUUAGAAAGAAGACGUGCAAAUAAUUCUCCAUCCACAAAAGCAAAUGUCAAGGAAUAUACUCUGUUGCUCAGAAGUAUUUGGAUUGCA